rnacentral:rRNA from 1 species
GUCUACGGCCAUACCACCCUGAACGCGCCCGAUCUCGUCUGAUCUCGGAAGCUAAGCAGGGUCGGGCCUGGUUAGUACUUGGAUGGGAGAAAUCAUAGCCAAACUGUAUUAAAAAUCAGACUGUUUUACAUU